UCACCUACGGGCGGCAGCAGUGGGGAAUUUUGGACAAUGGGGGCAACCCUGAUCCAGCCAUUCCGCGUGAGUGAAGAAGGCCUUCGGGUUGUAAAGCUCUUUCGGCAGGAACGAAACGGUGGGGGCUAAUAUCCCCUGCUAAUGACGGUACCUGAAGAAGAAGCACCGGCUAACUACGUGCCAGCAGCCGCGGUAAUACGUAGGGUGCGAGCGUUAAUCGGAAUUACUGGGCGUAAAGCGUGCGCAGGCGGUUUUGUAAGACAGCUGUGAAAUCCCCGGGCUUAACCUGGGAACUGCGGUUGUGACUGCAAGACUGGAGUGCGGCAGAGGGGGGUGGAAUUCCACGUGUAGCAGUGAAAUGCGUAGAGAUGUGGAGGAACACCGAUGGCGAAGGCAGCCCCCUGGGUCGACACUGACGCUCAUGCACGAAAGCGUGGGGAGCAAACAGGAUUAGAUACCCUAGUAGUC
rnacentral:rRNA from 1 species